CGGCUUUCUGGUGUCCGCCCCCCCUUUUUUUAAAAGGGGCACAAAUUAAUCUCUGUACUGUACUUAGACUAAAACCCCCCCACACUGUUUCCACUCUCUCAGAUGAAGGAAUCGAAAACUGCACUUGUAACGUUUCCCCAGACUCAAAGGAGUUUUGGAUUUGGCCUGUAGUUUGACAGUUCAGCUUUCAUUUUGCUUGUGUUGGCCAAAUUUACAGUGACUUAGAUAGAUAGGCAUAAAAGUUGAAUGCUAAGAAGUAUGACAUGUCUCUGUUUGUUUUUUGUUGUGUUUUUUUUAAAAACAGAUUUCAUAUGGCUUGGAUCACAAUAAUAGAUUCUUCAUGUGCAUGCUGAAAGACUGCCUCUGCUGAUGUUAUAUACUUGUCUUCCUGUUGCAAAAUCCAGAAUAGGAAUGAAUGAGCUUUGGGAUAGUCUCUAAAUGAAAAGCAAUGUUGAAGUUUAAGACUUAAGCAAAACAACCCCCCCCCCCCCAACCCAGCCUGAUAGGAGUCACUUUUCAGUUUUUUCGUGGGAUUCGUUCAUGUGGUUUUACUCUUUACUUGCUGUUUACAAAAGACCAAUGAGAUUUAUUUUUAAGACGGAAGAUGUUGGGUUUUGUCACAUAUACUGAUUUUGUGUUCUGAUAGCUGUUUGGAAAAGAAGUCACUUCAAGUACAGAAAUCUUGUUCGUAAGUGUAUAUAAUGCUGAUAAUCUCACUAAGUUUGUGCAUGUUCUAUAAAACAUACCUAAAAUGCACAGAAAUCUUAAAAGUUGCUUUCUUUCCUUAUCAUUUAGAAACUUAGGUAUGAAACAGUAUCAGUCUUAACUUUACUCAGGGCACUAGCUGAAAUACUUAUAAAUAUGCUACUAAUCUGAGAGAUGAUAAGCAGUGGUCAUGCUCACUAUGUAUGAAGAAUCUGUUACUGUAUGCUGAUGCAUACAUUAAUGCUGAUCUGUUACUGAUGCAGUUUUAUCUUCUGUGAUAUAUGCAGUCAUGUUUUCCUACUUCUAUAAAAAGGGUGUUUCAAAUUAGGAAAAGUCAACUUUGUUCUGUGGAAUUGAAACUUAGCUGUUUUUCACUGUAUCCAUGGCAUGGUGUAUGUUCACUUUUAGAAUUUUUUUAAGCCUGUUAAGCAAUAUUUAAAGUAAAUCUUCUAUGUCACUUCAAUUUCAGAGGAGAAACAAUACCAAAAACUUCUAACUAAACAGAAUUAAGAGGCAAAUAUUUAUAGCAGGCAGGCCUUAUGCUUUAUUUCUUGAGCCUAAUCUGCAGAAAGUUAAUCUUUAAAAAACCUCAAGCCCUCUUAACUUGCAGUGAUUGGAUCAGGCCCCCUACUCUUGGUGCACAAUGGGAGACUAUCCCCAGGAGAGCAUACAUUUUGGACUUCUGUCAAGCAAUCCAUUGUGCGCCUAAUUGUGCAAGCCUUCUAUUGCUGAUCUCUGAGAUCUGAUCCUGUGCUUAGUAGAGUCCCUGGUGGACCUCUCGUCGAUGGAAGUGAUAGGGGAUUGCACGCUGACAGUAGUCAUAUGGAAUUUAUAACCUCUUGUGCGCACAAGUGAGGUUUGUCUAGCUUAUUGUUUCUCAGGACUUUUGUGUAGCCUCCAUUGCUUCAUCUGACUGUAUGCUUUGGAAGCCUGAAGGGUAGGUAGAGUUUUUUUUAACUAUUUAAAGCUUGUUAUAGUUUGGAAUCUCUUUUGAGUCUUCUGGUGACUACAAGGAGCUUAAUCACAGUUUGGGGAGCACUGUUUCUGUCCACUGUAGCUGCAAUUAGCUUGUGAAGUUGUUUUGUUUUUAAAAGCCUAUUUUUCCUCCCAUAAAUUCAGUUUUUACUCAGUCCAUGUUUAUUCAAAUAGAAAUGUUCUUUUCUCAGCAAGUAUAAGCAGGGGGUUAAAAUGUAAAGCUAAACUUCAUAAAGAUCAAGAUGUAAAGAUAAACUUUGAUGUUUGUAUUCUAAGAAGAAAUGCAGGCUAGACAUGUAUAUUACAAUAAAAAGAAUUACCUCUCUGAAUACAGUAUUCAUCAGCACAAAAGAGUAAGCUGAUACUAUACAGUAAAUGGUUUGCUGUUACUCCCCCAGAAAGAGGCUUUGUAUGUCUUAGGGUAAUGACAGUUGACAUAAAUCAAACAUACUAUUGUCCACAAAAUCACUUAAUCUUCUCUUGUUCCCAGCUCAUUUCAACAUAUAACCGCACUUGGAGCAGACCUGCCAUCAAUAGUAGCUGCAUUACUGUAGCAUUGAAAUGUGUGUUUGGCAAAUAAAUGGCUGAAGUUUAAUUCUUCAGGUUGGAUUGAUGCAGAGUUUGAGCCUGUGGUUGCUGACACGCUGUAGAGGAGCUGCAGACUUAGCAAAGAUCUUGGCAUAUUGGAAUUCAUUAAAUAUCCUUCCACAGAAGUGGAAACAAAUAAGUUCUUGUUAUCUCUUGAGCAGAUGAAAGGUUGUGAGACCCUUCUAAAAACAAAAACAGGCCUUUCUCUAGAGUGUGUAAUAAAUAUAUUAGUUUUACAAUU